rnacentral:rRNA from 1 species
GACGAACGCUGGCGGCGUGCUUAACACAUGCAAGUCGAACGGAAAGGCCCUGCUUUUGUGGGGUGCUCGAGUGGCGAACGGGUGAGUAACACGUGAGUAACCUGCCCUUGACUUUGGGAUAACUUCAGGAAACUGGGGCUAAUACCGGAUAGGAGCUCCUGCUGCAUGGUGGGGGUUGGAAAGUUUCGGCGGUUGGGGAUGGACUCGCGGCUUAUCAGCUUGUUGGUGGGGUAGUGGCUUACCAAGGCUUUGACGGGUAGCCGGCCUGAGAGGGUGACCGGCCACACUGGGACUGAGCUACGGCCCAGCCUACUACGGGAGGCAGCAGUGGGGAAUAUUGCACAAUGGGCGGAAGCCUGAUGCAGCAAAGCCGCGUGCGGGAUGACGGCCUUCGGGUUGUAAACCGCUUUCGCCUGUGACGAAGCGUGAGUGACGGUAAUGGGUAAAGAAGCACCGGCUAACUCCGUG